rnacentral:sRNA from 1 species
GUCGCUGUAAAUCCAGCGACCGGGUUUGACGGCCCGAGCAAAUCAAGGCGCAACAGCGCCCAAGACCCAUUGCAGGCGCUUUUUUU